UCCCAGGACGCACCCUUCCCCUCGCAAGAGCUCAUCUCUCGCGGUUCUUCACCUCGCUUAGCGGGGAUGUCUCUUGACAACACAUUCGUGAGAAAGUAGAGAGCGAACAGUCAGGCAUUGAAAUGGACAGCCCUGCCAACGGCGGCGGCAAAGAGGCGAGGCGCGGAGAGCGACCCCUAGCGCGUGGAGGUCCUUACGGCGUUCGCUUGGAGGAUAGAAGGGCAAACGAGACCUUGGAGAAGGCAUGCUGUAUCGGUGGGCGAUCACCAGCAUUGAAAGGAAAACCCAUUUUCUCGCCCUCCUUUUUUCUUCUCUCUCUCUCUCGGCUGAGGUUGAUUACGGUUAGGCGAUUGGAUGUUUCUGGCUAAAAAGAACAAAGCCGUGCCAACCCCUAACGCCUGCUUCACAGAUAUCGGACAGCAGCGAUACAGGAAGGUGCUGGAGGCGGAUGCUCACUUCAGUGACAAUGGCAAAGGCAUCAUCUCAGACUGCAUGGGAGGAAGGCAAUGGCUGACCAUGGGGUGGGUUUCUGUGCUGCUGCAAAGAACUCCAGAAAUCUACCAUCUGAAGAUCUGCUGGAUCUACCAUCUAGCAUGGUAGAGCUAACCUGGUACAACAAAUCUUGUGGCAACUUAAAGACCAACAAAUGUAUUGUCGUAUAAACUUUGGACUACAGUGUACUUCAUCAGAUGCAUGCAGUGUUAUUCAAAAAAGGAAAAACAAAACAAUGUAAUGGAGUCAAAUGGCCACAGUAACUUCUAUUAUUUCUGUGUUUUGCAAGGCCGUUGUGGAGGAAAACCUAGAUUACCCCCCCCUUUGGUUGGUCCAAGCCCUGGGCAAGAGUUGUCUGCAAAAUGUGUGCUCUUCAGAGAAAUUUGUCAUAACAUUUGGAGUGUUACCCGGUCCACAAUAACAAGAGUUUAAAUGCCAUGUUAUGUUGUGCAAGUGGGCAGCAACAGUGAGUUCUGAUAACUUUUAGAAUAUGUUGGAAGGCACAGUUGCUGCAAAAGGGUUUUCAGCAGAAGCUCAUACUGCUGCAGUCUGAUCACUGGACUGACAGAAAGCACCAAAAGAAGAGCUGGUUUUAGGACCGUAAUGCUGGAUUCCUUGUGGAAACUUGAAUCAAUCUGUUGAUUAAAUCUGAAACUGUACAUGGAAUCACAGAGCUACAGAAAUUGCUGUGAGAAAGUUUGAUGCCAUUUUAAUGCUGUGGUGUUGAUAGCCCUCAUGUGGUCAACAAGUAUCUUCAUUUAAAAACAAAACAAAACAAAUUAUAUCCCUCUUUUUCUCCAAGGA